AUGUACCACAACUCGCUGCUGCAGGCUGCCUUGUCCAAACUCCAGGCUAAGCACCGGAACGUCAGGAUCAUCUAUGCGGAUUACUUCGGCCCAGUCAUGGAUAUGGUGGAGUCGCCUCACAAGUUUGGUUUUCAAGAUGUACUUUAUGUGUGCUGUGGAGGACCUGGAAGGUACAUGUACAAUGCGUCCGUUCGAUGUGGCGAUGCAGCUGCAACAACAUGCAUUGAUCCGUCUGCUCGUCUAUACUGGGCUGGUGUUCAUCUGACCGAGGCAGCUAACAGAUACAUCGCAGGGCGUUGGCUGGUCAAGAUAAACUCACUCAAAAGUUAG
rnacentral:rRNA from 1 species